rnacentral:rRNA from 1 species
UCGGGAAUUUUGGGCAAUGGGGGAAACCCUGACCCAGCAACGCCGCGUGAAGGAUGAAGUAUUUCGGUAUGUAAACUUCGAAAGAAUAGGAAGAAUAAAUGACGGUACUAUUUAUAAGGUCCGGCUAACUACGUGCCAGCAGCCGCGGUAAUACGUAGGGUGCAGGCGUUAAUCGGAAUUACUGGGCGUAAAGCGUGCGCAGGCGGCUCCUUAAGUCAGAUGUGAAAUCCCCGGGCUUAACCUGGGAACUGCGUUUGAAACUGAGGGGCUAGAGUGUGGAAGAGGGGGGUGGAAUUCCAGGUGUAGCAGUGAAAUGCGUAGAGAUCUGGAGGAACACCGAUGGCGAAGGCAGCCCCCUGGGCUAACACUGACGCUCAUGCACGAAAGCGUGGGGAGCAAACAGGAUUAGAUACCCGAGUAGUCCCUGAGCGGGCUGGCAAGGCGCAU